rnacentral:rRNA from 1 species
GCGGGGAAUAUUGGACAAUGAGCGCAAGCCUGAUCCAGCAAUGCCGCGUGGGUGAAGAAGGUCUUCGGAUCGUAAAGCCCUUUCGACAGGGACGAUGAUGACGGUACCUGUAGAAGAAGCUCCGGCUAACUUCGUGCCAGCAGCCGCGGUAAUACGAGGGGGGCUAGCGUUACCCGGAGUUACUGGGCGUAUAGGGCGCGUAGGCGGCUCUGUUAGUCAGGCGUGCAAUUCCUGGGCUUAACCUGGGGAAUGAGCUUGAUACUGCAGUGCUUGAGGCCGGGAGAGGGUGGUGGAAUUCCCAGUGUAGAGGUGAAAUUCGUAGAUAUUGGGAAGAACACCGGUGGCGAAGGCGACCACCUGGCUCGGUUCUGACGCUGAGGCACGACAGCGUGGGGAGCAAGCAGGAUUAGAAACCCUUGUAGACC